rnacentral:rRNA from 1 species
UACGUAGGGGGCAAGCGUUGUCCGGAUUUAUUGGGCGUAAAGAGCGUGUAGGCGGCCAUGCAGGUCAGCUGUGAAAACUCGAGGCUCAACCUCGAGACGUCGGUUGAAACCGUAUGGCUAGAGUCCGGAAGAGGAGAGUGGAAUUCCCGGUGUAGCGGUGAAAUGCGCAGAUAUCGGGGAGAACACCCGUGGCGAAGGCGGCUCUCUGGGACGGUACUGACGCUGAGACGCGAAAGCGUGGGGAGCGAACAGG